CAGUCGCCGCGGUAAUACAGAGGGUGCGAGCGUUAAUCGGAUUUACUGGGCGUAAAGCGUGCGUAGGCGGCUUCUUAAGUCGGAUGUGAAAUCCCUGAGCUUAACUUAGGAAUUGCAUUCGAUACUGGGAAGCUAGAGUAUGGGAGAGGAUGGUAGAAUUCCAGGUGUAGCGGUGAAAUGCGUAGAGAUCUGGAGGAAUACCGAUGGCGAAGGCUGCCAUCUGGCCUAAUACUGACGCUGAGGUACGAAAGCAUGGGGAGCAAACAGGAUUAGAUACCCGGGUAGUCCCUGUCUCUUAUAC
rnacentral:rRNA from 1 species